rnacentral:rRNA from 1 species
UACGGCGUGGACUACCAGGGNUAUCUAAUCCUGUUCGCUCCCCACGGUUUCGCACCUCAGCGUCAGAUCAAGCCCAGUUGGCCGCCUUCGCCUCUGGUAUUCCUCCGGAUCUCUACGCAUUCCACCGCUACACCCGGAAUUCUACCAACCUCUGCUUGUCUCCAGCCCGACAGUAUCCCCUGGCCUCCCGGGGGUUGAGCCCCGGGCUUUCACAGUGAGACUUACCGAGCCGCCUAUGUGCGCUUUACGCCCAAUAAUUCSGAACAACGCUCGCACCCUCCGGUAUUACCGCGGCUGCUGGCACGGAGUUAGCCGGUGCUUCCUCUGGUGGUACCGUCAUCCCGAAGGCAUUUCCUCCCCCGGACCUUCUUCCCACCCGACAGCGGUUUACACCCCGAAGAGCUUCCUCCCGCACGCAGGCGUCGCUGCGUCAGCCUUUCGGCCAUUGCGCAAGAUUCCCCACUGCUGCCUCCCGUAGGAGUCUGGGCCGUAUCUCAGUCCCAAUGUGGGGGGCCAUCCUCUCAGACCCCCUAGGCGUCGUCGGCUUGGUGGGCCGUUACCCCACCAACUACCUGAUACCCCGSGAGCCCCUCCCUGCACGCCGCCCGAAAGCGANUUUSCUCRMCCSGGCCAUCAGCCCAAUGAGAACAUGCGGUAUUAGACCGGGUUUCCCCGGGCUUAUCCCCCGCACAGGGGCAGGUCACUCACGUGUUUACGCACCCGUUAAAACUCAAAAGGAAUUGAACGGGGGCCCGGCACCAAGCGGUGGAGCAAUGUGGUUUAAUUCGAAGCAAACGCGAAAGAACCUUACCUGGGCUUGACAUGCACGUGAAAGCUGGUGGAAACAUCGGUCCUCCUUCGGGACACGUGCACAGGUGCUGCAUGGCUGUCGUCAGCUCGUGUCGUGAGAUGUUGGGUUAAGUCCCGCAACGAGCGCAACCCCUGCCUGCUGUUGCUAACAGGUGAUGCUGAGGACUCUGCAGGGACUGCCGGUGAUAAACCGAAGGAAGGUGGGGACGACGUCAAGUCAUCAUGGUCCUUACGUCCAGGGCUACACACGUGCUACAAUGGCCGGGACAAACCGAAGCGAUGCCGCGAGGUGGAGCGAAUCGGAAAAACCCGGUCUAAGUUCGGAUUGCAGUCUGUAACUCGACUGCAUGAAGUUGGAAUCGGUAGUAAUCGUGGAUCAGCUACGGCCACGGUGAAUCCGUUCCCGGGCCUUGUACACACCGCCCGUCACGCCAUGGAAGUUGGGAGUGCCCGAAGUCCGUGAGCCAACCGNCAGGAGGCAGCGGCCGAAGGCAGCUC